GGAGGGCUACGGUAACUGGCAACCGGACGGUCUUGAAAACCGUUGUCCGCAAGGACUUAAGGGUUCGAGUCCCUUGCCCUCCGCCA
rnacentral:tRNA from 1 species